GGGGAUGUCCAAUAGUUGAUAGUUAGCUUUGACAAUUAGCAAGCAGAUCGCCCGCUUCAGCAAUGGCGCAAAACUUGUUGAAAAUUAGACAAAUGCCAAUUCAUUUGUCAGCAAAGUGAAGGCCACACUGGCGAAAGCCUUUGCAGUCCCAGCUUUUGCUCCGGUUGUUGCCUAAAAACCAAUAACCCAUUCGCCCCGCCGCCUGAUUAGCGGGAUUAGCGAGUGUCAUAUUUCAGGCUGGAUAUUUUUUACCGCGUGAUAAAAAAUAUCAAGAACUUUUCGCGCUAGGCAAUUAUCGAGCUUGAUUGUUCCGUGCGAUAAUUUCCGAAAAAUUCUGAACCAUCUAAAUCUGUAGAAUGCUAAUUGACGGCCAACUAGACAGGGGUGCAAGACCCCUCAUCUCCACCA
rnacentral:tmRNA from 1 species